GGUAAAAUGGCUGAUAAAAGCAUUAGACUGUAAAUCUAAAGAUAGAGGUUUAAGUCC
rnacentral:tRNA from 1 species